GACGAACGCUGGCGGCGUGCUUAACACAUGCAAGUCGAACGGAAAGUGCUCUUCGGAGUGACUCGAGUGGCGAACGGGUGAGUAACACGUGGGUGAUCUGCCCUGCACUUCGGGAUAAGCCUGGGAAACUGGGUCUAAUACCGGAUAUGACCACGCGCUUCAUGGUGUGUGGUGGAAAGCUUUUGCGGUGUGGGAUGGGCCCGCGGCCUAUCAGCUUGUUGGUGGGGUAAUGGCCUACCAAGGCGACGACGGGUAGCCGGCCUGAGAGGGUGUCCGGCCACACUGGGACUGAGAUACGGCCCAGACUCCUACGGGAGGCAGCAGUGGGGAAUAUUGCACAAUGGGCGCAAGCCUGAUGCAGCGACGCCGCGUGAGGGAUGACGGCCUUCGGGUUGUAAACCUCUUUCAGCAGGGACGAAGCGCAAGUG
rnacentral:rRNA from 1 species